rfam:Myotis brandtii contig211327, whole genome shotgun sequence.
GUCGGGGGAGGAGGGUUCCCUCAGCCAUGUUUGCUAGAGGGUGCAGGCCAGGCUGAGGGACCCCACUGGUGCACG